CCUAGGUGGGGGACAAAUAUUCAGACACUCAUAGAAGUCUGGAAUCCUAUGUGAGGGACAAACACUCUGAACUCAGCAGCAGUGUCCUGGAAUCCUAUGGGAGGGACAAACACUCAGAACCCAGUAGCAGUGUUGUAGAAUCCUUUGUGAGGGACAAACAUUCAUAACCUUGUAGCAGUGUUCUGGAAUCCUAUGUGAGGGAGAAACACUCAGAAUCCAGC
rnacentral:lncRNA from 1 species